CAUUUUUAAUUCCAAGAUAUUUACCAGUUAUAGCAGUUUUACCUUCAACUGGUCUCUUGUAUUUUCAUCACAUCUUUAUGAAGUGAAACAUGUUUAACUGUUAUCAUAAUCUCCUGCUUCAUGACAUACUGCAGCACAUUUUCCUUCAUUGUUUGAAUGUGUUGGAUAUAAAAUAUCAGGCCAGACACAAUCCAUUAUUACCUCAUCGUUAGCUGAGCAGUUAUUAAUAGUCUUUGAUUGAUGAUCAACAAGAGGAAACUGUGUGUCUGCAGCCGACUGUAAAACUGUCAGACUGUUUUAAUUAACUUUAAUAACCAGACGUAAAAUCAUGUGACAUCAUAGAAAUGCUUCUCAACCCCCCCAUCCACCAUUCUCCUCCUUUCUGAGACCUCAGACUCAGACCAGAAACAGACAAACUGAACUGUUUCAGGAUGAGCAGGAUGCUGAACGAUACAGCCUCUGGACUGAUGUGGAUUCAGGUCUGAUGUGGAUUCAGGUCUGAUGUGGAUUCAGGUCUGAUGUGGAUUCAGGUCUGAUGUGGAUUGUGGAAAUGAUGCUGCUGAGGUUUUUCCUCGCUUGGAUCAUUGGACUCUUCCAGAUGAGUUUGGGGGCGUGUCCUGACGUUGCUAUGGAGAUGAGUUGCAGGUAUUCUUACAUCCUGUUUCCUCCUCCUCCUCCUCCUCCUCCUCCUCCUCCUCCUCUUAGAGAGCUUACCUUCACAGUGUGGCCCUCUGCUGGUCCGGAUGUAACCUUUAAACAUCUCCCGCUCCUGAUGUUCUUCCUCACCCCAACAUCAUUUAUCAUAUUAUUGAUCCUCUCCGCUGUGUGUUAUAAAGCCAUGAAGAGGACCAUCUGAGGAAAGAAGACAAAGACAGGAUGGAACAACAACUCUGUGAUUUACAGAGUGAAAUGAGAGUCAAACUAUCAGCUGCUGAAGAGAACAUACAAUAAAAAUUACAAUUUAAAGCGUUCCUGAUGAAAGACAAAAGAUAUCUAAUACAACCUAAGACAUACUGACCACCUCUUUUUCCGCACUCCUAGAAUAUUUAAAGAAUUUGGUCGCCGUUCAUUCCAGUUCAAAGCUCCGUCUGAUUGGAAUAAUCUCCCAUGCCAGCUUAGGUCUACUACUUCACUUCAUGGUUUCAAAGCAUCACUUCUAACCCAUUUGCAAACUCCUUGUUCGUGUUAUUUUGUGUUUGUUCUUACUCUUAUUCAUUUAUUUUUAUCAUUAUUAUUAUUAUUAUUAUUAUUAUUAUUACUAUUAUUAUUUUCAUUAUCUUAUUUUCUUCUCAUUUCUCACUCACUUUUUCAUUCUUAUUUGUUGUUGUAUCUUAUAUAUUUAUCAUAUAAAUUGAUAUUCCUGUAACUUUCUUUUUCCCACUUGUAAGCAUGGAUACUACUAAAUUGAUUAGUGAACUGAGAUUUGGCUGUCAGUGGAUUAGCUGGGAUUUGGAGAGCCUUGUCUGUGUGAGUGUGUGUGUGCAUGUAUAACAGAUGUAUGAUGCAUGUAUAAUUCAAAUAUCUGGAGAAGAUAAGCAAAGAUUUAUAUCCAGUGUUCGGUAGAAACUGAGUCACAUGACCUCUAUAUGACCUCCAUGUUUUUCAGCUGUGUCGUCGUGUUCGUUGUUUGAUGUGAAUUAAAAGGUGAUGUUUGAGGUGACACGUCUCUUUGGUUUGUCUUUUUUUAUUUUACUUUUUAUUUUGGCCUGUUAUGGCUUUAUUAAUAGGACAGCAUUGAAAGGGGGGACGACCAGGGCGGCCUGCAGCUGGUCCGCUGCAGCGAGGACUCUGUACAUGAGGAGCUGCAGAACCAGGUCCGUCUGUUUAUGAGGUGUGACUUAGUUAAUAAUCACUCAGAAAUUAAACAGAUCAAUCUGUUAGUGUUUGUCUGACGAUGACUUCAUUGAUUAUGUCGGGGUCCGGAUCACAAAUAUUUUCCCGAUAGUGACCGCUGUUCUACACAUCAUCCCGCUUAUUACACGGUUACUUGCCAACACACAAGAAAACUUGACACAGUGUCUUUUUACAGUUUAUUUGUUCAUAGUGUUUUUCAGCAGAGAAAUAUAGUUCGCCAAACAGACGCCAUUUCUCUUCUCCCUCUUCGCUGCUUUCCUCUCUUUUUCUUUUCUUGACCGGUGACGACAACUCAGCCUUUUGCAAGAGUUGAAAUCACCGUAUUUUCCAAAAAUAUUAAAGUUAAUGUGAAGUAGACUACAGAUCAGCUGACGCUUAGCGACUGAAGACGCUGGGGUGAAAAGUGACCGGACUACUUGCAGAGCAAAGAUUUUACGAAAUACAUGAAUCAGAGGCAAAAAGGCCACUUUCCUUGACGACGGUCAAAUAUGCUUAGCAACGCUCAAUUAUACGAAAAUAAUUGACCGCCAAACGUUGGGAAGGCUCAUUCAAGUGAAUGGAGCAUUCUACAGCAUUAAGAAGAGCCGUGUGAUAAUGAUUAUUAUUUUAGAAGAAUUUAGACUCAAGGACAAAUGACCACGAAGGUCAAACACACACACACACACACACACUUGAUGACAUCAUACAUGAUGAGUGUGCAGCUGUGUGUCUGUUCACACACUUUCUAUGUUUUAUAUAAUUUUCAAAGAUGUGAAACAGUUUGAGUUUCUGUUAAGAGUCACCUGAUGUGGAACAGCCAAUGGGAACUGCCCUCUCUGACAUGAACUGUGAUUGGCCGGUGUCUCCAGUCACAGGUUGAAAAUCUGAAAAAGACAUCCAAAUUACUGAAUAACAAUAACAACCAGAGUGUAUUUUAAGUUAAAUACGAAAAUUUGAGAUUUACCUUUUUUUCCUGAACACAAACAAUUUCAUUAUGACAUGAAGAUAAUGAUGAUGAUGAUGAUGAUGAUGAUGAUGAUGAACAUGUCCCCUCACUUCUGGUCCAGGAUGGAAACUGAUGAAGAUUUUCUUUAAACACGAUGAAGACGUCUGUCUUCCUGUGAGCUCAGACUCUCUGUGGGAACUGAUGUAGUCAAACAGGAAGUGAUUAACUCUGAAAAUCCAGCCGAGUAAACUAAACAAACAGAGACUUCCUGCUCAAACACAAACACACAGGCUGGAGCUUUAUUUUUAUCUUCACUUCCUGUUUGUACCACAGUGAGAAGAAGAAGAGACGAUCCAACAUCCAGUUCAACAGGUUAGAAAGACACAAUGAAAGACCACGACAAGAGAGCCAGGAAGCUUUUAUUUUGAAGUGACAGCUCUGUUCAGGUGAGACGAUGUGUGCAGAAGCUUCGGUCGCAUUAAAACUGUGUUCACACUUUAAUAUUGAAACCUGCAGAUUUUAAAACAACUUCUAUUCAUGACAAAAUGAAAAGAUGAUGAAGAUGAUGAUGUUCAGGUUUUGGGUCUCUGGCGGGCCCUCUGGCGGUACUCCGGCAGGUGAUGAAGAAUCCAGGCAGCUGGGGUCAACAUGGCCACCGUGAACACAGACAUGACGAAGAAACUUUGCUGUCAGAGACAUAAAUUAAAAACCAAUCAGAGCUUCAUCUUUUUGUAAACAACAAAUCAGACAGCUGUCAGGGACAUCACAUGACAUCAUCAGGGUGAAGGCGGACGAAAGAUACCAGACAGACUUUUACAGUCUUCAGUCUUUAUUCUGGAUUUUAACCUGAAAAUAUUCUUAUCCAAAUCAACUGAGAGGAAACAUAAAGUUUGUUGUUUUGUUUGGUCAUAAAAUGUUUUAUUGACAAAAUCCACCAACUCAAGAUGUUUUAAGAAUAAACUGACUCUUUGUUAUCUGAACCUCAUUCAUCUUUAACACACACAUUCUUUUAUAAUCUGACGCCAGAUUUUUCACCAGAAUAAGAUAAACACAAAAAACCAUGAACACUUGAAAGUUUCUGCACUGUCGUCAUCGCUUCUGUUUGUAUCUUUCAAACACUCUCAGAGACUCAAAACCGGUUUCUGUCAGUAAGUUAGUUAUUGACUCACUUGUUCAAUCAGUUAUUUGGAUCAUUAAUGAUAUUCUCAGUUGAAUGAUUAGUUAAAUUAAUGAGUU
ensembl:lncRNA